ensembl:lncRNA
CACCAGCUCAGACAAAUCUUUACAGUCACAGUGACAGUCCACUGGGUCUUCAGUUAUGACUGAGCAAGGACUCUGGUGUCCAGGUAUAAUUAAAAUACACUCAGACCUAGACUGGAAAAGCCUUCAGCACAGAAUGAGGUCAUCUUUUAAAUUUCACUAUUCACUUUCACUUCUCCACAUGACUGCUUGGUUGGAGGUCACAGUGUGGUCAGGAAGACGGAUAUUAUAUCUCCAAGGACUAAAUGAGAAAAGUCAGUAGAGGCACUGGCAAGGUGCUGGAGGGAAGGGAACACACUAAUAGGUUGGACCUCAUUGUAAUCAGGGUUUCCAAGGGAAUAGAUUUAAUACAGGAUACAUAAUUUGCAGGAUUAUUUUAUAAUAUUCACCCAAAAAGUCAAAUGCAGAGGAGUGCAAGAGAUCUGUCCACAUGAUAGAGACCCCAAGAAUCCAGCUAGGGGAGGACCUGGAUCCCAAGGCAAUGUCCCACACAAGUCCAGAUAAAGGCCUACAGCCCAAGGUAAUGUCCUCCAUGAGUCCAGCCAGAGGCCCAGCGCCCACAGCAAUGUCUGAUGCGAGUCUCUAUCAAGGAUCUGCCCCAGGAAGACCUAGGCCAGUGGCAGAAGCUAGAAAAUCUGCACCAGCGGGGUGGGUGAAGGAUCUGUGCUGCCAGGCUGAGGGAUCUGCACUGAUACCAGGAAGCGAUGCUGAAGGCGAAGAUCAGAGGUCCCCUGAGAACAGCAGCCAUCUCUGGCAACAGCGCUGUCCUCUGAUGAUGAGAAGAAGCUGAGUUCAUAUCAGGACAACCAGCUGUGGCAAGCUUCUCCACAAAAAUCAACAGCAUACAAUCUUUCCUUCCAGUUCUUUUGUGCCUUUGGCAACAAUCCCCAGUUAUAGAGGUUAUAGUUUCCACUUUGUCCAGUUAAUUGGUGAACAGCCUAUUUUUUAUGAAGUAGCCUCAGUUUCAUUUGGGAUGAUUGGAUUUAUAGGCACUCUUAGUGUAUGUUGAGUCAAUUUUGUCUUCAUAUCUCUCAUCGGCCUUACCUAUAGUUAGCAGAUCCUUAGAGAAUAUAUUUAGUCUCUCUCUUAUGUAAAAUUCCUUCCUGUAUUUUUUUUUAAAAAAGACAUUUGUGUGGUCCUGUCACCUUUCCCUUUUCAUUCACUAGUUCCUGCCAACGUGGUUCAUAGGACAUGGGUUUUGGUUGUUUUUUUAAAAGUACAGUAGUAAUUAUUAUGUAAAGUUGUAGUACCAGUAAUUGGUAUGUCAUUUGUUUUCUAUUAAACAGUCAUCUUCAUGUGUCUGGUACCUUGUCUGUCUUGUCCAUCAUUUAUGCCCAGCACCAAAAUCAAUG